AGAGUUUGAUUAUGGCUCAGGCCUAUCGCUGGCGGCGCGCCUAACACAUGCAAGUCGAACGGCCCUAUUUUGGGAGAAGUUUUCGGAUGGAUCUCGGGAUAGUUUAGUGGCGGACGGGUGAGUAACACGUGAGCAACCUGCCUUCGAGAGGGGAAUAACGGCUGGAAACGGUCGCUAAUACCGCAUAACAUACUGGAGGGACAUCCCUUUGGUAUCAAAGAUUUUAUCGCUCGGAGAUGGGCUCGCGUCCGAUUAGGUAGUUGGUGAGGUAACGGCUCACCAAGCCGACGAUCGGUAGCCGGACUGAGAGGUCGAACGGCCACAUUGGGACUGAGACACGGCCCAGACUCCUACGGGAGGCAGCAGUGGGGGAUAUUGCACAAUGGGGGAAACCCUGAUGCAGCGACGCCGCGUGUGGGAAGACGGUCCUCUGGAUUGUAAACCACUGUCCCCAGGGACAAAGAUGACGGUACCUGGGGAGGAAGCUCCGGCUAACUACGUGCCAGCAGCCGCGGUAAUACGUAGGGAGCGAGCGUUGUCCGGAAUUACUGGGUGUAAAGAGAGCGUACGCGGGACUGCAAGUUGGGUGUCAAAUCUACCGGCUCAACCGGUAUCCGCACUCAAAACUGCAGUUCUUGAGUGAAGUAGAGGCAGGCGGAAUUCCUAGUGUAGCGGUGAAAUGCGUAGAUAUUAGGAGGAACACCAGUGGCGAAGGCGGCCUGCUGGGCUUUUACUGACGCUGAGGCUCGAAAGUGUGGGGAGCAAACCGGAUUAGAUACCCUGGUAAUCCGCACCGUAAACAAUGAUUCCUAAGGGUGGGGGGUCUGACCCCUUCCGGGCCGG
rnacentral:rRNA from 1 species